rnacentral:lncRNA from 1 species
UUUUUUGAAUCUAGGAGCCAAUGCUUUAAGUUACCCUGUCUUCUUACUUUCCUUUAACAUGAUAAAAAUAGAUUAAUCUGCCAUGAAAAAGUGAAAAUACCAAACCUUGGUGUGUGAUGGGAAAUGAACUCAUGAAACACUACUGGACUUAUGUAUCAGCACAACACCUUAGUAUAGAUUUAUCUGCGCCUGUGUCCUGGGCCAUAUUUUAUAAUUUGAUUAAUAUUGUCCUUUGGGAAUCCCUGAUUCAAUAGGAUUAGUAUCCUUAUGAAAAGAGACUCAACAGAGCUUGCUCUCAUUCUCCCUCUGCCAUGUAAGGACACAGUGAGAGGACAGCUGUCUACAAGCCAAGAGAAGAAACCUGAAUGAAACCUAUCUUGGUGGUACUUGAUCUUAGACUUUCCAAUCUCCAGAACUGUGAGAAAUAAGUUUCUUUUGUUUGUUUAAUCUAACCCAGACUAUGGUAUUUUAUUAAGGCAGCCCAAACAGACUAAGACCAGUCAUUUGUGUGGAUGAUUGAUGUGGCAUGUGGUUGAUGUUUUAGGAAAGGGUGAUAUUCAAGGACGUGGCUGUUGUCCUCACCAAGGAAGAGCUGGCACUAUUGGAUAAAGCCCAGAUAAACCUGUACCAAGAUGUGAUGUUGGAAAACUUCAGGAACCUCAUGUCAGUGAGUGAGUAACUGAGCA